GGAAGGAUCAUUAUUGAAUGAACUUGGUGUGGUUGUUGCUGGCCCUCUCGGGGGCAUGUGCACACCCACCAUCCUCAUCUCUCCACCUGUGCACCUCUUGUAGACCUGGAUAGACUUUCCGAGGCAACUCGGUCGGGAAGAUUGCUGCGCUCUGUGAGCCAGCUUUCUUUGCAUGUCCAGGCCUAUGUUUUUCAUAUACCCCUAUAGAAUGUAACAGAAUGUAUCAUUGGGCCUUGUGCCUAUAAACCUUAUACAACUUUCAGCAACGGAUCUCUUGGCUCUCGCAUCGAUGAAGAACGCAGCGAAAUGCGAUAAGUAAUGUGAAUUGCAGAAUUCAGUGAAUCAUCGAAUCUUUGAACGCACCUUGCGCUCCUUGGUAUUCCGAGGAGCAUGCCUGUUUGAGUGUCAUUAAAUUCUCAACCUUAUUAGCUUUUGUUGAUAAUGGAUUGGAUGUGGGGGUUUAUUUUGCUGGCUUCUUCACAGAGAUCAGCUCCCCUUAAAUGCAUUAGCUGGUGCCCCGCGUGGACCAUCUAUUGGUGUGAUAAUUAUCUACGCCGUGGAUGUCUGCAAUCAUAUGGGUUUUGCACUGCUUCUAACCGUCUGUUCAUUCGGACAAUACAUGACAAUUUGACCUCAAAUCAGGUAGGACUACCCGCUGAACUUAAGCAUAUCAAUAAGCGGAGGAAAAGAAACUAACAAGGAUUCCCCUAGUAACUGCGAGUGAAGCGGGAAAAGCUCAAAUUUAAAAUCUGGCGGUCUCCGGCCGUCCGAGUUGUAAUCUAGAGAAGUGUUAUCCGCGCUGGACCGUGUACAAGUCUCCUGGAAUGGAGCGUCAUAGAGGGUGAGAAUCCCGUCUUUGACACGGACUGCCAGGGCUUUGUGAUGCGCUCUCAAAGAGUCGAGUUGUUUGGGAAUGCAGCUCAAAAUGGGUGGUAAAUUCCAUCUAAAGCUAAAUAUUGGCGAGAGACCGAUAGCGAACA
rnacentral:rRNA from 1 species